AGUCUGAGAAAAUGGUACUCAAUGUCUUGUCGUGUUUUGUGCUUAGAAGCGGAGCUUUAUUUACAAAUGAUACUGAAAGCUCCAGAAAUAGCGCCAUCUAUUGGUGGACCACGAUACAUGCAAGCAUUAAUUGCUAGAUCAGCUGAUCGUGUGAAGUCCAGACCAAAAUAGACAAGCGAUUACCUUUUUGAGUAGGAUUAAUUGUCAAAUUUCCGAAAAAAAAGGUUUUUGUUGUUGGUUUUGGUUGGAAGAAAUGGUUAGCAGGUUAUGUGCAGAACCUGAAAAAAAAAUAGUGGAAAAGUGCAUGUGCUUUAAUAGAAAAAAAAAAGUACAUCAGUGAAGUGGUUGGUGUAGUCAGAUGCAUAAAACGUACUUUGCACCUUGCCGUCCACUUGUAGCUGUUUGUCCACUAUAGGAAUUUGCCAACUGGCGUAAAUAAACCAAGUGCCGUUUUCCAGAUUAGGAUUCGGCACUUCGUCAUAAAUUAUAAUAACUCAAUCCUAAUUUAUAUAAUAACCCAGUGUGUAAAUUAUAAUAACCAAGUGGUAGAAUUUUAAAUUAAUUUAAAAUGAAACUUCAACACACACAACUGCUUGAUUAACGGCCAACCACCAAAAGCUCCAAGUCGCAGCUGUGCUGGACACAUCAGCUGUCUGGGCCACGCAAUCAUAUGAGCUGUUGCUAGCUGCAGACGCUCAUUGAGCACAGGAGAAUUGCUUCCCAGCAGGUGGUGUUUCUACUGCAAAACACCUGCGUCCGGCAGCCUUGCGAUCUCCGUUGGCUAUUUGCUCCGCACUUGUGGUGGCAUCGAGGCCGAGUAUCUGCGUCACCCAGGAGGAAGGCGAACGGCUGACUAGCAGCUUAUUUUUUUUUUUGUUUGUUUGUUUAUUAUUGUUAAUUUACGUUAUGUUGUUUAAGUAUGCAUUAAUAAGUGAUAGUCCAUCAAUGUUGUAAGUGUAAUAUGAUGUGGCGAGAAAGUUGAUCC